rnacentral:rRNA from 1 species
GACGUGGGGGGCCAGCGUUGUUCGGAAUUACUGGGUGUAAAGGGUUCGUAGGCGGUGUGGCAAGUUGGGAGUGAAAUCUCUGGGCUCAACCCAGAGGCUGCUUCCAAGACUGCUGUGCUGGAGUGUGGGAGAGGCGCGUGGAAUUGCAGGUGUAGCGGUGAAAUGCGUAGAUAUCUGCAGGAACACCCGUGGCGAAAGCGGCGCGCUGGACCACUACUGACGCUGAGACGCGAAAGCGUGGGGAGCGAACCGG